ACCAGCUAUUAAUUUUGUCCUUUCUAAGAUCUUCUGAAAGUAUAACAUCCGAUUUUGUUAAUCACUCAUAUGAUUAGACUCAACUGGACUCCACUCAAUCCUGUUAUCGGUACUAAUAUUUGCAGGGCCCUGAACAAAAAUCUAAAUUGAAAAAAUACACAUAAUGCCCUCCUUUCCACAUAAGGAAUUCCUGACAGGAAAUAGUGUUGUUUUGUUAAUUUAAGAACCUCUGCUAGCAGGGAAAUCCAAGAUUUGAAUGAAGAGAAAUGCAUUGACUUGACAGUGACACUGAUUCAGAAUCAAGAUGUUCACUUGAAAGUGCAACCAGGAGACAAAGCAAUGGGAUGUGAUCUUGAAAGAAAACAAGGCCUAUGAAGACAUUCCCAUUCUCACUCCCAAAAUAAUAAAUUCCAGAAAGCAAGAUGAGGACACCUUAACAAAGAAGAUCUCACCUAAUGGAAGAGAUCCAUGUUUGUUGGCCUCAACUAUUGCAACCAACCUCCCACCGCAGAAUUGCUUAAAUGGCACAGCCAGUUCAGUGCGCCAUCUCAAAGCUCUGAAGCAGACGAAGAUGUUUCUCAGAAAAGACCAUCAGCUAUGGAACACUGAAGUGUCUUACUUUUAGAUCAAGCAGAGUAACUUGAUCAGGGUGCCAUCAAACUGCAGAUCCAUAAUGUCCAUAUUGUAUUAUAUACUUUUUAUUUUGAUACAUUGAAAAUUAUUGUAACAUUAAUAUUGUAUUGAGUUAUUGAUGAACAGUACAAAUGGAACUACAUUUCAAAGUGUAAUUCAUUAAAGAAGAACUUGAAAUUUUAAUUGUUUUCACAACAAACAAAUGAAAAACACCGAAAGAACAUGUGUAAAUAGGAAAGUAAUAAAAGUUGCUGCUAAUAUAAUGAGAUUCUGUUGUGUACCUAUGUUGAAAAAUUGAGUUUUCUACAUGCAAAUGAUCACAUCGAAAAGACAAUAUAU